UAGAGUUUUGAAUCCUGGCUCAGGACGAACGCUGGCGGCGUGCCUAAUACAUGCAAGUCGAACGAACUCUGGUAUUGAUUGGUGCUUGCAUCAUGAUUUACAUUUGAGUGAGUGGCGAACUGGUGAGUAACACGUGGGAAACCUGCCCAGAAGCGGGGGAUAACACCUGGAAACAGAUGCUAAUACCGCAUAACAACUUGGACCGCAUGGUCCGAGCUUGAAAGAUGGCUUCGGCUAUCACUUUUGGAUGGUCCCGCGGCGUAUUAGCUAGAUGGUGGGGUAACGGCUCACCAUGGCAAUGAUACGUAGCCGACCUGAGAGGGUAAUCGGCCACAUUGGGACUGAGACACGGCCCAAACUCCUACGGGAGGCAGCAGUAGGGAAUCUUCCACAAUGGACGAAAGUCUGAUGGAGCAACGCCGCGUGAGUGAAGAAGGGUUUCGGCUCGUAAAACUCUGUUGUUAAAGAAGAACAUAUCUGAGAGUAACUGUUCAGGUAUUGACGGUAUUUAACCAGAAAGCCACGGCUAACUACGUGCCAGCAGCCGCGGUAAUACGUAGGUGGCAAGCGUUGUCCGGAUUUAUUGGGCGUAAAGCGAGCGCAGGCGGUUUUUUAAGUCUGAUGUGAAAGCCUUCGGCUCAACCGAAGAAGUGCAUCGGAAACUGGGAAACUUGAGUGCAGAAGAGGACAGUGGAACUCCAUGUGUAGCGGUGAAAUGCGUAGAUAUAUGGAAGAACACCAGUGGCGAAGGCGGCUGUCUGGUCUGUAACUGACGCUGAGGCUCGAAAGUAUGGGUAGCAAACAGGAUUAGAUACCCUGGUAGUCCAUACCGUAAACGAUGAAUGCUAAGUGUUGGAGGGUUUCCGCCCUUCAGUGCUGCAGCUAACGCAUUAAGCAUUCCGCCUGGGGAGUACGGCCGCAAGGCUGAAACUCAAAGGAAUUGACGGGGGCCCGCACAAGCGGUGGAGCAUGUGGUUUAAUUCGAAGCUACGCGAAGAACCUUACCAGGUCUUGACAUACUAUGCAAAUCUAAGAGAUUAGACGUUCCCUUCGGGGACAUGGAUACAGGUGGUGCAUGGUUGUCGUCAGCUCGUGUCGUGAGAUGUUGGGUUAAGUCCCGCAACGAGCGCAACCCUUAUUAUCAGUUGCCAGCAUUAAGUUGGGCACUCUGGUGAGACUGCCGGUGACAAACCGGAGGAAGGUGGGGAUGACGUCAAAUCAUCAUGCCCCUUAUGACCUGGGCUACACACGUGCUACAAUGGAUGGUACAACGAGUUGCGAACUCGCGAGAGUAAGCUAAUCUCUUAAAGCCAUUCUCAGUUCGGAUUGUAGGCUGCAACUCGCCUACAUGAAGUCGGAAUCGCUAGUAAUCGCGGAUCAGCAUGCCGCGGUGAAUACGUUCCCGGGCCUUGUACACACCGCCCGUCACACCAUGAGAGUUUGUAACACCCAAAGUCGGUGGGGUAACCUUUUAGGAACCAGCCGCCUAAGGUGGGACAGAUGAUUAGGGUGAAGUCGUAACAAGGUAACCGUAA
rnacentral:rRNA from 2 species